rnacentral:SRP_RNA from 1 species
GCUGGGUGUGGUGGCAGGCACCUGUAAUCCCAGCUACUUGGGAGGCUGAGGCAGGAGAAUCACUUGAACCUGGGAGGUGGAGGUUGCAGUGAGCUGAGAUCACACCACUGCACUCCUGCCUGGGUGACAGAGUGAGACCCUGCCUUAA